AACGAGAUCCUUAGCGAAGCUUGCUUUGCUAAGUCUAGUGGCGAACGGGUGAGUAACACGUGAGCAACCUGCCCAGAAGCAGGGGAUAAGCCACCGAAAGGUGGUCUAAUACCGUAUGUGAUACCAAGAGGCAUCUCUUGGAUAUUAAAGGGGGGGACCUUCGGGCCUCUCACUUCUGGAUGGGCUCGCGGCCUAUCAGCUAGUUGGUGAGGUAACGGCUCACCAAGGCAACGACGGGUAGCUGGUCUGAGAGGACGACCAGUCACACUGGAACUGAGACACGGUCCAGACACCUACGGGUGGCAGCAGUCGAGAAUCAUUCACAAUGGGCGAAAGCCUGAUGGUGCGACGCCGCGUGGAGGAUGACAGCCCUAGGGUUGUAAACUCCUGUCAUGAGAGAGUAAAGACUUAACGUUAAUACCG
rnacentral:rRNA from 1 species